rnacentral:misc_RNA from 1 species
AACCUUAUGGACCUGCGGGCGUAUACCUGCGGAGGGAUCAUUAUAGAGUUUUCUAAACUCCCAAACCCAUGUGAACUUACCAUUGUUGCCUCGGCAGAACCUACCCGGUACCUACCCUGGAACUAGCUACCCUGUAGCUACCCAGGAACGGACUACCCUGUAACGUCCUGCCGGUGGACUUCUAAACUCUUGUUAUUUAUAGUAAUCUGAGCGUCUUAUUUUAAUAAGUCAAAACUUUUA